UACGUAGGGGGCAAGCGUUGUCCGGAUUUAUAGGGCGUAAAGAGCGUGUAGGCGGCUUUACAGGUCCGUUGUGAAAACUCGAGGCUCAACCUCGAGACGCCGGUGGAAACCGUAAAGCUAGAGUCCGGAAGAGGAGAGUGGAAUUCCUGGUGUAGCGGUGAAAUGCGCAGAUAUCAGGAAGAACACCCGUGGCGAAGGCGGCUCUCUGGGACGGUACUGACGCUGAGACGCGAAAGCGUGGGGAGCGAACAGG
rnacentral:rRNA from 1 species